rnacentral:piRNA from 1 species
AUGCUAAUUAGUGCUGAAUAGGUAACUUCCU